rnacentral:sRNA from 1 species
GUUUUCUGUGCCAGGACUACAUCUAUGACAAAGACAUGGAAAUAAUCGCCAAGGAGGAGCAGCGAAAAGCUUGGAAAAUGCAAGGCGUUGGAGAGAAGUUUUCAACUUGGGAACCAACCAAACGGGAGCUUGAACUGCUGAAGCACAACCCGAAAAGGAGAAAGAUCACCUCGAACUGCACCAUAGGUCUGCGUGGGCUGAUCAACCUUGGGAACACGUGCUUCAUGAACUGCAUCGUGCAGGCCCUGACCCACACGCCACUUCUGCGGGACUUCUUCCUGUCUGACAGGCACCGCUGUGAGAUGCAGAGCCCCAGCUCCUGUCUGGUCUGUGAGAUGUCCUCACUGUUUCAGGAGUUUUACUCUGGACACCGGUCCCCUCACAUCCCGUAUAAGUUGCUGCACCUGGUGUGGACCCACGCGAGGCACCUGGCAGGCUACGAGCAGCAGGACGCCCACGAGUUCCUCAUCGCGGCCCUGGACGUGCUCCACCGACACUGCAAAGGUGGGCCCUGGGCUCUGCACCCUCCACCAGGGCAGGAUGUUUUCCUUGAAGGGGAAGGAAGCAAAGCGAGUGUAUGCCCUCGUGCAAAAAGGGGCACAGGA